rnacentral:rRNA from 1 species
GUGAGGAAUUUUCCGCAAUGGGCGAAAGCCUGACGGAGCAAUGCCGCGUGAAGGAUGAAGGCCUAUGGGUUGUAAACUUCUUUUCUCAGAAAAGAAUUAUGACAGUAUCUGAGGAAUAAGCACCGGCUAACUCCGUGCCAGCAGCCGCGGUAAUACGGAGGGUGCAAGCGUUAUCCGGAUUUAUUGGGUUUAAAGGGUGCGUAGGCGGCUUUGUAAGUCAGAGGUUAAAGGCGGCAGCUUAACUGUACGCAUGCCUUUGAAACUGCGAAGCUUGAGAUACUUGGAGGUAGCUGGAAUUCCCUGUGUAGCGGUGAAAUGCAUAGAUACGGGGAGGAAUACCGAUUGCGAAGGCAUGUUACUACGAGUAAACUGACGCUGAUGCACGAAAGCGUGGGGAUCAAACAGGAUUAGAAACCCGGGUAGUCC